GUUCAUAUUCAGUGAAACAAAAAUAAUUGAACGCUCUCCCUUCUUCUCUCUCAUGCGACGGCGCUCGCUUCAUCACCAUAUUCGUUCAAUCAUAUCGAGCUCUAUUUCAACCUUCCUCCGAUUCGUAUCAAUUCACCUCCAUUCAUUCGCUCGAUUUGCCUUGAGCUCAAUGUCAUAA